rnacentral:tRNA from 2 species
CCGCCAGGUAGUGCAGGGCAGCGCAGCGGGCACCGUCCGAGCCGGUGCGGGCGGCCUCCAGGAUCAGCUCGCGGUCGUCCGGCCCGGCGACGGCGGU